rnacentral:lncRNA from 1 species
GGGGCUCGGCGCGGCGGCGUGGGGAGGGAGGUAGGAGCCGAGAGCCGAGGCGGCCGGCUCUGCGGUGACUGGGGAUCCUCGGGCCCUGCCCGCCGUCUGAGGGGGUCACCUGCGCGGCCGUGCGCUGGAGUCACCGAGGAGUCCCGCCGUGCCGGUGGGCGGGGGAGCGUGUCGAGGAGACUCGCGCAGCCCGGGACAGGCACAGAUGGAAGGUCAGCGCUUGUGAAGCUUUGUGCGCCCGGGGCAGAGGCUGUGGCAAGCUUCCAGAGGCUGUUCUGUUUCAUAUGCUGUAGAAAACCUUGGCCGAAACAGUUCUGCCCUAGUGACACUGUUGGCACCUUCACCUGUUCUUCUCUUCCUAGUUUCUGUCUCACCUGCACCCGAAGGGGUCUUUUUUGGAGUCCUUCUAAAGCUUCACGCUGGCUUCAUCAGACUGUUUCUGCAUUUCUCUUAAUUUGCACUGCAUUGUGGAUUCCUCACAAAGAAAAGAAAAUAGAAUAACCUCAUGCCACUUAAUACCACUGAGGUGAUGUCAACUGUUCAAAUUAGUAGAAGAAUUGGAAGCUGAUCUCACAUGCAAAAUCUUUACCUUGUGAAUUAUUCUGCAAGACUAGUUAUAUUUGUUCUAGAUAAAGUGCUAUGCGAAAACACUGUUUCUGAGAAAUAUCUAUAGCAUCAAGAGAAGUAAUUGGACUGUUGGAAGCAGAGGAGUGUUGGUACAAGUUUUGAUGUCUUGUUCUCCUCCACUAACCUUUGUCACAGUGGAAGGAAGGGAUGCCAUUCAGAGGGACCUCAACAGACCUGAAAGCUUCAUAGUCAUUCUCUGGGAUGCUUCUGCUUUGACUUCUGCAGCCUUCCUCCUUUUAAUCCUGUGCCUGGAUGAAGACUAUCAGAUACCACCCCGGUGUGGCUGGGAAAGGAACAUCCAUUCCAUCAGCUCUGCUUCUUGCCUCCUUGCUGGCAGGUACAUGUCUGUGAGUAGCACAGGGGAAACAAGAAGGUCAGCCUCUGGCUUCUCAACGUGCACUGGGUGUAAGGCUGUCAGAGUGUUGCAAACUGUCCUGUCAGGUGUCUUCAAAGUUCUGUUAAUUUAUUUGUUUCUGACUUAGAAGCAAGAGCAAGUUAGUAGAGCUGGUAAUAUAUAGAUAUUUUUUAAUAAUGGCUCUGAGUUAGUUGCAGUGUGUUUUAGAUGAUGUGAUAUUUUCUUCUUUUGUUUUCUAUUACAAAGUACUAUUACAAAGUAUUAAAAUAUUUUGUCCAGAAGUACCUGACAAGUACCAAGAACACAGUUUAAUCUCCCCAUCUUCCCAAGGAAUCCUGUAUCUGUUGUGGUUGUAAACACUGACAAUUAGACUGGCUAAUACACAUAAAUGUGUUUAGAUUAGAGGUAAGAAAAUUGCUUAUUGAUCAUUCUUGAGUAGCUUUUCCCACAGAAGCCAGGAUGUUUUCUACUUGGAAACAUUUUGCGAGGGUAAAACACAUUUAUACAAGCAAGAAUUGUUAGGUAUUCCUCAGCAAUUGCCUUUCAGAGUGUUUAAAUCAUUCUCUAAACUCAAACCGAUAUAAAAUCACCUCUCAAAAGAAUGAAACAUUGCGAUGUUGCAAGAAAUUGCAUAAAGGCAUCCUUUGAAUAAUGACAUCUGCUGCCAUUUGUUUAUGCACGACUGUACAUCUAUAGCAACUGAAAGGCAAAGGUGUCUCUGGAGGUUUAUCCAAUGAGGCACUGUUAUGAGCAUAUGUGAACACGAUGAACUGACUGUGUUUUUCCUGUCUGCACUAGAUCCAGCACCAAGGUAUGAGGAAUGAAGGCAUUUCUACCAGCACAAAGUCAGAUUGUUUUUCUAACAGAUAUGGGAGUCAUAUAGACUGUUAUGUUAGUUUUUAAUAUUGUCUUCAUAGAUAACUUCACUGGGUUUUAUACAAAUGGAAUAAACUUGGUCCAAAAAGCUUUGACUCCAGUGCACCACAAGUUUGAGUUACAGCUGACUUUCACAUAGUGCUUGUACAUAAUAUCUCUGUUCAUGCACUUGAUAUCAAGUUUAUGGACAGGAAAGCAGAACAAGGAAGAAUAUGAAACAACUUCUACUGCAGGGACUAGCACUCCCUUGAUCCAUAGUGACCAAACCGAAUCAUAUCAAACAAAACAGUGCUUUUCAGUGACAAUCUUUCUCUGCAUCCAAGUUAAGGAUAAUAGGACUGACCUCUCGUUAAAUACUUUAAUAUCUACUGAUUAAAGAAGCAAGAUGGCCUAUCAGCUGCUGUGAAACUUUGGAGUGAAAUAAUGCUUCAAAACAUAAGUGUUUCAUUUGCUUGAUUGUUCUGAAUAAGUUCUGCUGAGGCAUUAGCAUCCUUGAAAAAAUAUAUGUGAUAAAUCAUUAACUACAAAAUUAAAUUUCACUAUUUUGAACUUAUUUUUCCAUUAGCUCAAACAACUAGUAAACACACAAAAUAUUCUUGAAAGAAAAUGAGUUCUUGGAGAUUUUUACAUUGCACCUAAGAAUCUUGAACUUUAUUUCAGAAGGGGCCUGUAAAUUGCAGAUCUCCAGAAUAAAAAUAAGAGAGACUAUUUUUUUUUUCUAUAGCUUUUCUAAAAGUUGUAGUUAAAUUAUCUUAAGGAACAUUUCUACUCAAUUCCAGAAUAAACAGAUCUUGAUGUCUCAGUAUGCUGAGACAUAGGAGGAUUGAAAUAGAAUGAUUAUGUCCCAAGACAAUGAGAUUGGGAUUCAAAGUAUUACACACUUACAAAUGAGUGAUACGAAAGGAGAGCCAUCCUGUUUUCAUCACAAGUCCUGUCUGACCUAAGCCCUUAUAUCUUUAGAAACGGGAGGAAUGAAGUAUAAUCUUCAGGUUCAUUGUGUGGAUUGUUGCUGUGUCUGCUUUGUGAGCUAGAAACAGGUAAAAUCAUAUGCUCUUGAAUAGUAUUUUAACAAGCACAGCUGCAGGGGAAUGUAGGUAGAGUAGCUGGGAGUAAAGAAUCUUGUCCAUUAGAGCUGCUAAGGGGGGAAAUAUAAGGUGGAACAUUUUUAUAAUAAGAUUUUCAUCAUGGCUUUUAUAAAGCCAUAGUAAACAAGCUAAAUAUGAAAUAAAAUCACAGCUGAUGUCAAACUGCUUGUAUAGAAGCUCCUAACAAAUGCAAACCUGAAACGUCUGUACAUGAUUUAGAAACUAACAAAUCCCCCUGAAAGAGUUGCCAUCAGACUUAAACUGUGAAGCAAAUAAAGACAUCCGAGUAGAUUUUCUAAUUGCCUGGAUAGGAUGUAUGGUGUUAAGCAUUCAAAGAUUCAAAGGAAGAACAGUACUUGGUGGGAGCUACAGUGCCUGUGAGAUAGGCAGCAAAUGGCUAUCUGCUGUGAAUAUAUAUUUCAGUGCUAGUUAAAGAUCAAUUCAUGCUAAGGUGGAUGGCUUUGUUUAUUUUUGGAUAUUAAAACUGCACAAUUUCUGACUUAGGUCUGAGAGCGCUGCUUGCAUUGCUUUUCUUUUAUGAUGGUAUUGCUGAUCUAUUUUCCCUGUCUUGAUAAUGGUUACGGUAAGAAUAAAUCUUUAUCUAUUUGCUAGGCAGGAUUUGAUUUAUAAGUUAGAUAUGGAAGAUAUGUAAGUUCUGAUAAUCUUAUUAAGAUUCUUUUUGCUUAAUGUAGCCCUGCUGCAUGCUACCAGGUUGUAUUUCAAUACAGUAUUUUAAUGUGUGACAGUUAAGAUCUGUUAGCUCUGAUGAAGCAGGCUCAGAAUAUUGCUUCAGCUGACUACCAUCUGAAUGGAAUCUCAGUAAUCCAAUGCCUGAUAAAAAAUAACUUCAAAGUAUGUUGGAAAAUGCUCCUUUUUUGAGUUUGCGUGUUAUUACUUAGUAAGGUAUUAAUCCUUCUUUUCCACUGAACACUAGUUAUACUACAAGACUUUAAGCUAAGAGACUAGUCCAAUUAUUUUUAGGAAUAGAGAAGGUACAAGAUAGGAAAAGAUAAGUCGUAAUGAAUCUAACUACCAAAAAUAUUGGAAAACUGGAUAGUUCUGGCAAUGUACAUUUUGAACUGAGAAACUGACAGCGCACUGAAGAAGAUUGGAAGAUGGUACCUAAUUUUUAAAAAUGUAAUGUUAUUCCCUAGGCAUUAGUAUUAAGACUUUUAUGCUCCUACUUCUUUUUCAUCAUUUCAAUUUCUCCUUCCCUUCUCUACUCCCAUGUUUUCUGAAUGUGCUGUUUUCACCAGAAUUCUCAGACAUAUGUAAAUGGCCAUUUUUAAGGCAUUUUUACUGCUCAGAUGUCCAAAAGUGAUUACUUUUUUCAACUCUUUUCUCUGUCUCAGAGCUUGCAUGUGAUUUUUUUUG